CUACGGGCGGCUGCAGUCGAGAAUCUUCCACAAUGGACGAAAGUCUGAUGGAGCGACGCCGCGUGUGGGAUGAAAUCUUUCGGGAUGUAAACCACUUUUCUACAGGAGGAAGUUUAUUGACGUUACUGUAGGAAUAAGGGGCUGCUAAACUCGUGCCAGCAGCAGCGGUAAUACGAGUGCCUCAAGCGUUAUCCGGAAUUAUUGGGCGUAAAGGGUCCGCAGGCGGUUUAAUUAGUCUUGUGUUAAAUCUCCCGGCUUAACCGGGAAUCCGCAUAAGAAACGGUUAAACUAGAGGGUGUGAGAGGUGUACAGAACUCAUGGUGUAGGGGUGAAAUCCGUUGAUAUCAUGGGGAAUACCGAAAGCGAAGGCAGUACACUGGCACAUUCCUGACGCUCAGGGACGAAAGCGUGGGUAGCGAAUGGGAUUAGAUACCCUGGUAGUC
rnacentral:rRNA from 1 species